rnacentral:rRNA from 1 species
GAUGAACGCUGGCGGCGUGCCUAAUACAUGCAAGUCGAGCGAACAGACGAGGAGCUUGCUCCUCUGACGUUAGCGGCGGACGGGUGAGUAACACGUGGAUAACCUACCUAUAAGACUGGGAUAACUUCGGGAAACCGGAGCUAAUACCGGAUAACAUGUUGAACCGCAUGGUUCAACAGUGAAAGACGGUCUUGCUGUCACUUAUAGAUGGAUCCGCGCCGCAUUAGCUAGUUGGUAAGGUAACGGCUUACCAAGGCAACGAUGCGUAGCCGACCUGAGAGGGUGAUCGGCCACACUGGAACUGAGACACGGUCCAGACUUCUACGGGAGGCAGCAGUAGGGAAUCUUCCGCAAUGGGCGAAAGCCUGACGGAGCAACGCCGCGUGAGUGAAGAAGGUCUUCGGAUCGUAAAACUCUGUUAUUAGGGAAGAACAAAUGUGUAAGUAACUAUGCACGUCUUGACGGUACCUAAUCAGAAAGCCACGGCUAACUACGUG